rnacentral:piRNA from 1 species
UGCCACUGAAGAUCCCAGUAUUCUGGC